rnacentral:rRNA from 1 species
UACGUAGGGUGCAAGCGUUGUCCGGAAUUAUUGGGCGUAAAGAGCUCGUAGGCGGUUUGUCGCGUCGAAUGUGAAAACCCGGGGCUCAACCCCGGGCCUGCAUUCGAUACGGGCAGACUAGAGUUCGGGUAGGGGAGUCUGGAAUUCCUGGUGUAGCGGUGAAAUGCGCAGAUAUCAGGAGGAACACCGGUGGCGAAGGCGGGUCUCUGGGCCGAAAUUGACGCUGAGGAGCGAAAGCGUGGGGAGCAAACAGG